CCCGAGACAGCUGCGGCGCCCGCUCCCCGCCGCCCCUAUGCGGGCGCCCUCCGCCCACAUCCCGCGGCCGGAGCCGGGCGGCCCCUGGGCUCUGGGGGCCGAGUCCCUGCCGGGUCGCCGUGAGGCACGCUGUCCUUUCUUUAAUUCACCGCAGUUCUCGAGCCAAACAAUACACACAGUUGCGCUGGCGAGGCGCUGGGAGCGGGGGAUCCCGAGGUGAUCGUGAACCAGCCGUCAGCUGCGCCCUCCGCCCCAACCCAGUCGCCGCCCGGGAGCCAGGUUAUCUUGGGACUCUGCAAGCCCCCACCCAGUCACACCGGCGCACAAUUCAGGAGUCGCUGGUGUUGGUACUGAAAGGUUAAAGGAUCUCUUCCAGGAGGAGGAUGACAGUACAGCAGCUUACCCUACAAAGACAACACGAAUGAUAACAGUGCAUCCUAAGUAACACCUGUGUCCUCAGAGGAGAUAUCUCCAACCAGUCACACUCUGAUGGAGCUCUGCUUUUUGAUUAAGCCAGCUGAGUUGGGUUUCGGUCUACUGUAACUGAAGAGUCCUUACUCUAAUACACCAAUGAUGAAAGUGUUCUAGAGACCUAGCUCUUCCCAUGGCCCCCAGGCUAGAAUGAAAUCACUGUCUUCUCUGUUCUUUUUACCUUGUUUGCAUUUCAACUAAAGUAUUCUUCAAUACAUUUAUAUGAUUAUACUUAUGGUGAAUAUUUUCCAAACAAAACCCAGGACACAACUGGACAGUUAUGACUGUAAUAAUGGGGACACUGGGCUAGAAUACUGAAAUUAAGAUAGUUCCCAGAUUCCUGUAUGUGGGCUGCAGUUGCUCACUGGAUACAAAUUUGCCUCUUUCCACCAUAAAUGCUCUAAAAGCUCUAUUUUAAACUCAUCUUUGCAUCCUCCACAGUUAAAUAAAUGGUAAAUUAAUAAGUGACUUAUCUAUACCAAUAGUAUUAACCACUUUCUUCCCAAACGGAAGGCAAGACCAUAUGGCUGCCCACUUUUAUUUCUAUGCUCCAAGAGCUCCACUAAUAUGGUUUGAGAAAAGGAGCAGCAAAAUCCUCACAAUUAGUAAUUACACCAGGGCCCUGUAAAUGCUUAUUUGUAGAAAGAGUUAAACGUAAUAUGUAACAAUUAUUGGGGGCUCAUUAUGCAUCCAGCACUGAGCUUAGUGUUUCAUUUAUUUCCCAUAAUGAUCUCAUGGACAGGCACUGUUAACUCCCAUCUUACUAAUAACGAGAACUCAAAAUAGCACCUUCUUAAUUGUAAUAGGAGAAUAACCUCACAGAUUUGUUAUGUAUUUUUACUUAGGUAACACUUGUAAAACAGAACUAUUCCUAGCAGAGUUACCUUUGAAGAAAUGUUGGCUAUUAUUACUGUGUACAGAGAUAGGGAUGUAAACAGCUAUAUUACAAGGAAGACUGCAACAAUAAUUGCAACUGAAACAAGCAAAAGGCUGUAGGAAAUCAAAAAACCAGAUGCAUAAAUUGAAAAUUUUCACUCAAAA